ACGCUGCAUCAGUACAGCGACACCAUCUCGCAACAGGUGGUGGUGCCUGCUGGCGAUGCCAGCCAGA
rfam:Leptomonas seymouri strain ATCC 30220 Lsey_0006, whole genome shotgun sequence.